AAUGAACGUUGGCGGCGUGGAUUAGGCAUGCAAGUCGUGCGGAAAGGCCCCGCAAGGGGCACUCGAGCGGCGAAAGGGAUAGUAACACGUGGAUUACCUACCUCCAGGACGGGGAUAGCUGCGGGAAACUGCAAUUAAUACCCGAUGACGUCUUCGGACCAAAGGUGUGAUUCCGCCUGGAGACGGGUCCGCGUCCUAUUAGCUAGUUGGCAGGGUAACGGCCUACCAAGGCUCAGAUGGGUAGCGGGUGUGAGAGCACGACCCGCAUCACUGGGACUGAGACACUGCCCAGACACCUACGGGUGGCUGCAGUCGAGGAUCUUCGGCAAUGGGCGAAAGCCUGACCGAGCGACGCCGCGUGCGGGGUGAAGGCCUUCGGGUUGUAAUCCGCUGUCAGAGGGGAACAAGUUCAUGGGGGUUCUCCCCUAUGUUUGAGUGAUCCUCAGAGGAAGCGCAGGCUAAGUCCGUGCCAGCAGCCGCGGUAACAC
rnacentral:rRNA from 1 species